rnacentral:rRNA from 1 species
UACGUAGGGGGCAAGCGUUGUCCGGAAUUACUGGGCGUAAAGGGCUCGUAGGCGGCCAACUAAGUCAGCCGUGAAAUCCCUCGGCUUAACCGGGGAACUGCGUCUGAUACUGGAUGGCUUGAGUUCGGGAGAGGGAUGUGGAAUUCCAGGUGUAGCGGUGAAAUGCGUAGAUAUCUGGAGGAACACCGGUGGCGAAGGCGGCACCCUGGACCGACACUGACGCUGAUGAGCGAAAGCCUGGGGAGCAAACGGG